AAGUCUUAAUCGGAUUACUUGGAGAAAGCGCACGCAGGCGUUCUGUCAAGUCUGAUGUGAAAUCCCUGGGCUUAACGUGGGAAGUGCAUUCGAACAGGGCAGAGUAGAGUCUGGUAGAGGGGGUAGAAUUCCAAGUGUAGCGGUGAAAUGAUAGAGAUCUGGAGGAAUACCGGUGGCGAAGGCGGCCCCCUGUACAAAGACUGACGCUCAGGUGCGAAAGCGUGCGGAGCAAACAGGAUUAGAUACCCUGGUAGUCCACGCCGUAAACGAUGUCGACUUGGAGGUUGUGCCCUUGAGGCGUGUGUUGCGGAGCUAACGCGUUAAGUCGCCCGCCUGGGGAGUACGGCCGCAAGGUUAAAACUCAAAUGAAUUGGCGGGGGCCCGCACAAGCGGUGGAGCAUGUGGUUUAAUUAGAUGCAACGAGAAGAACCUUCCCUACUCUUGACAUCCCGAGACCUUUCCAGAGAUGGGUUGUUUCCUUCGGGAGCUGUGCAACAGGUGCAGCAUGGUUGUCGUCAGCUGUUGUUGUGAAAUGUUGGGUUAAGUCCAGCAACGAGCGCCAUCCUUAUCCUUUGUUACCAGCGGAUGGGCCGGGAACUCAAAGGAGACUGCCAUCACCAACUGGAGGAAGGUGGGGAUGACGUCAAGUCAUCAUGGCCCUUACGAGUAGGGAUACACACGUGUUACAAAGGCGCAUACAAAGAGAAGAGACCUCACGAGAGCAAGCGGCCAAAAAGCCGUUCCCAAAGUCGAAAAAGGAGUCUGCAAUUCCUUCCAAGAAGGAAUCGAAAAUAAAUUCGUUCAGGGAAAUAGGGUAGAACGAUUUCCGUUCCUUUCACACCCCCCCUUUCACACCAGGGGAUUGGAAUAAAAAAAAGUAGGUAGCUAACCCUGUGAGGAAGUUCACAGU
rnacentral:rRNA from 1 species